rnacentral:rRNA from 1 species
GACGAACGCUGGCGGCGUGCUUAACACAUGCAAGUCGAACGAUGAAGGAGAGCUUGCUCUCCGGAUUAGUGGCGAACGGGUGAGUAACACGUGACUAACCUGCCCCUUUCUCUGGGAUAACGCUCCGAAAGGAGUGCUAAUACCGGAUACGAACUCUGAACACAUGUUCGGAGUUGGAAAGUUUUUCGGAAAGGGAUGGAGUCGCGGCCUAUCAGCUUGGUGGUGAGGUAACGGCGCACCAAGGCGACGACGGGUAGCCGGCCUGAGAGGGCGACCGGCCACACGGGGACUGAGACACGGCCCAGACUCCUACGGGAGGCAGCAGUGGGGAAUAUUGCACAAUGGGCGUAAGCCUGAUGCAGCGACGCCGCGUGAGGGAUGAAGGUCUUCGGAUUGUAAACCUCUUUCAGUAGGGACGAAGCGAAAGUGACGGUACCUAAAGAAGAAGCACCGGCUAACUACGUGCCAGCCGCCGCCGUAA